GAUGAAGAACGCAGCGAACGUGCGAAACGUAAUGUGAAUUGCAGAAUUCAGUGAAUCAUCGAAUCUUUGAACGCAUCUUGCGCUCCUUGGUAUUCCGAGGAGCAUGCCUGUUUGAGUGUCGUGAAUACUCUCAACUUCAACCCUUUUUUCGGAAAGGGAGGAAGGUUGGACUUGGGUGUUUGUUGAAGUGCGAGCUUCGACUCAUCCUAAAUGCAUUAGCGAUCUGCCUCGAUCACACACCAUGUGAUAAUUAAAACUAAAGCAUUGUUUAAUGAUCAAGUCGAGACUGCUUCUAACUGUCGCAAGACAAUAACGUGCAUACAUUUGUGCAUGUCAUUUGACCUCAAAUCAGGUAGGACUACCCGCUGAACUUAAGCAUAUCAAUAAGCGGAGGA
rnacentral:misc_RNA from 1 species